rnacentral:rRNA from 1 species
GAUGAACGCUGGCGGCGUGAAUAACCCUUUAAAGUCGAGGGCUUCGGCUCCGCAGGGAGCCAAGGACCGGCAAACGAGGUAGUAACACGUAGGUACGUACCCUUUAUUCUCGCAUAGCUCUCCAAAAGGGGAGGUAAUUCGAGAGGGUCUCGCAUAUUAAUUUAUGUGAGUAAAGAUUUAUCGCUAAAGGAGCGGCCGGCGGGAUAUCACCUAGUUGGAAAGGAAAGGGCUUACCAAGGCUAUGACGUCUAGGAAAGCUGAAAGGCUCUACUCCACCGAUGGGACUGAAACACGGCCCAUACACCUACGGGUGGCUGCAGUCAAAAAUCUACCGCAAUGGGCAAAAGCCUGACGGACCGACCCCGCGUGACUGAUGAAGUCCUUCGGGACGUAAAGGUCUUUUAUGAGGGAAAAAUUUCGAUGAUAGUACCUCAUGAAUAAGGAGCUCCAAACUCUGUG